rnacentral:snoRNA from 1 species
GCCUCUGAGGAUGAACAUCUGAAUACUUUCGUUCUUCCGAAAUGCAUCAUGUGGAAGAAUUAUGGAGACCUGAACUGAAGAGGC